UUAUAUUCAAUAAUGAUAUGAAAUUGCAAAUUUUAAGGUGUAAAAUAUACUAAGGCUU
rnacentral:tRNA from 1 species